AAAACUUCUCAAACAAUACACAGGGGGCCUCUUUCAAGUCAUACAAUGAUCGCUUCAAUCUAUAUACAUUAGACGUAGAAGGGAAAAAAAAUCCAGAAGGUGGGAUUAUAUAAAUGUCCUCCUUGAGAUCACCAUGAAUUUUUUUAUUUUUUCUUUGACAUCCAUCUAGUGAAAUGGCCAACCCUAUGAAGUAGAAAUUGAAAUAAGGGUACGUACAAUAGUCAUUUUUGCCAUGGGGAAAUGUCUUCUCAUAGUCCACCCCAUAGUACUGUCGAUUCCAUAGGGCAACCACCAGUCUUGUAAAAAUAUACAUUCAGAAUGAAGUUUAACUGAGUAAACCAAUUUAAAAGCAAUAUGCUUAGCUGUAGAUAGACAUAAGACAAGAUCCCAUGUUUGAUUUUCCUAAAGAGCUCAAAGUUCUUCUCGUAUUUGCUAUCGACGCUCAUGUUUAAUAGCCUGUGAGUAAUAAGACGGAAUCGUAAUAGAAGACAACAUAAUGAGAAAUGAUGUAUAAAAAUCAUACCA
rnacentral:lncRNA from 1 species